AGAAUCAACGCUGGCGGCGUGCCUAACACAUGCAAGUCGAACGAGAAAGUGGAGCAAUCCACAAGUAAAGUGGCGCACGGGUGAGUAACACGUGACUAACCUACCCUUGAGUGGGGGAUAACCUAGGGAAAACCUGGGCUAAUACCGCAUAAUACCUACGGGUCAAAGGAGCAAUUCGCUUAAGGAGGGGUCGCGGCCGAUUAGUUAGUUGGCGGGGUAAUGGCCCACCAAGACGAUGAUCGGUAUCC
rnacentral:rRNA from 1 species